rnacentral:rRNA from 1 species
UACGGAGGAUGCGAGCGUUAUCCGGAUUUAUUGGGUUUAAAGGGUGCGUAGGCGGGAUGCCAAGUCAGCGGUAAAAAUGCGGUGCUCAACGCCGUCGAGCCGUUGAAACUGGCGUUCUUGAGUGGGCGAGAAGUAUGCGGAAUGCGUGGUGUAGCGGUGAAAUGCAUAGAUAUCACGCAGAACUCCGAUUGCGAAGGCAGCAUACCGGCGCCCGACUGACGUUGAGGCUCGAAAGCGUGGGGAGCAAACAGG